rnacentral:rRNA from 1 species
GUCCACGCCGUAAACGUUGGGCACUAGGUGUGGGUCUCUAUCGACGGGAUCCGUGCCGUAGCUAACGCAUUAAGUGCCCCGCCUGGGGAGUACGGCCGCAAGGCUAAAACUCAAAGGAAUUGACGGGGCCCGCACAAGCGGCGGAGCGUGUGGCUUAAUUCGAUGCAACGCGAAGAACCUUACCUGGACUUGACAUUUAGGGAAAAGCCGGUGAAAGCCGGUGUGCUUCGGCGUCCUAAACAGGUGGUGCAUGGCUGUCGU